rnacentral:rRNA from 1 species
GGCUCAGGACGAACGCUGGCGGCGUGCUUAACACAUGCAAGUCGAGCGGUAAGGCCCUUCGGGGUACACGAGCGGCGAACGGGUGAGUAACACGUGAGCAACCUGCCCCUGACUCUGGGAUAAGCGGUGGAAACGCCGUCUAAUACCGGAUACGACCUUCCACCUCAUGGUGGAGGGUGGAAAGUUUUUUCGGUCAGGGAUGGGCUCGCGGCCUAUCAGCUUGUUGGUGGGUAACGGCCUACCAAGGCGAUUACGGGUAGCCGGCCUGAGAGGGCGACCGGCCACACUGGGACUGAGACACGGCCCAGACUCCUGCGGGAGGCAGCAGUGGGGAAUAUUGCGCAAUGGGCGAAAGCCCUGACGCAGCGACGCCGCGUGGGGGAUGACGGCCUUCGGGUUGUAAACCUCUUUUACCACCAACGCAGGCUCCGGGUUCUCUCGGGGUUGACGGUAGGUGGGGAAUAAGGACCGGCUAACUACGUGCCAGCCGCCGC